CAGGCCCCGUUUCCUGUGUGAUUGGCUUCCUUUUCUCUGAGAACUGGUCAGUGCAGCUUCUAAGCAGAGUUCAGUUUGACACUCAGAGUGCCUCUCUGUUGGUAUCCUUUCACCCCCAAAGAGACCCCAGAGACGAUCUGCGCACAUGGAGGAUGAGGAAGGCUACAUGGCACUUAACAUGCAGCCACGAAAAGAGCAAACACUGAACCCCAGAUCCCAGGAAGCAGAAACCCUACCAAGGCAUCGCCGUUUGUGUGAGGUUGUUACUGGGGCUGGAUGUGCUGUGAUGCUUCUCAUGGCAGGAGCUGCAAUAGCCCUACGUAUUAGUGCUUUUCAGAGACAGCAAUACAUGGAUGGUCUGGAGAAAUCUUUUGUCUCUGGGGAACUUGGCAAUGGCACAGAAAAUAAGUCCAGCCUGGAGCAGGUCCUCAC